rnacentral:rRNA from 1 species
AGUCGAGCGCGGGAAGCGAGCGGAUCCCUUCGGGGUGAAGCUCGUGGAACGAGCGGCGGACGGGUGAGUAACACGUGGGCAACCUGCCUGUAAGACCGGAAUAACCCCGGGAAACCGGGGCUAAUGCCGGGUAAUACUUUUCUUCGCAUGAAGGAAAGUUGAAAGAUGGCUUCUCGCUAUCACUUACAGAUGGGCCCGCGGCGCAUUAGCUAGUUGGUGAGGUAACGGCUCACCAAGGCGACGAUGCGUAGCCGACCUGAGAGGGUGAUCGGCCACACUGGGACUGAGACACGGCCCAGACUCCUACGGGAGGCAGCAGUAGGGAAUCUUCCGCAAUGGACGAAAGUCUGACGGAGCAACGCCGCGUGAACGAUGAAGGUCUUCGGAUCGUAAAGUUCUGUUGUUAGGGAAGAACAAGUACCGUGCGAAUAGAGCGGUACCUUGACGGUACCUAACGAGGAAGCCCCGGCUAACUACGUGCCAGCAGCCGCGGUAAUACGUAGGGGGCAAGCGUUGUCCGGAAUUAUUGGGCGUAAAGCGCGCGCAGGCGGUUCCUUAAGUCUGAUGUGAAAGCCCACGGCUCAACCGUGGAGGGUCAUUGGAAACUGGGGAACUUGAGGACAGAAGAGGA